rnacentral:rRNA from 1 species
UACGGGAGGCAGCAGUGGGGAAUAUUGGACAAUGGGCGAAAGCCUGAUCCAGCCAUGCCGCAUGAGUGAAGAAGGCCUUCGGGUUGUAAAGCUCUUUUAGUGAGAAAGAUAAUGACGGUACUCACAGAAGAAGUCCUGGCUAACUCCGUGCCAGCAGCCGCGGUAAUACGGAGAGGGCUAGCGUUAUUCGGAAUUAUUGGGCGUAAAGAGCGCGUAGGCUGAUUAGUAAGUUAAAAGUGAAAUCCCAAAGCUUAACUUGGAAUUGCUUUUUAAAACUGCUAGUCUAGAGAUUGAAAGAGGAUAGAGGAAUUCCUAGUGUAGAGGUGAAAUUCGUAAAUAUUAGGAGGAACACCAGUGGCGAAGGCGUCUAUCUGGUUCAAAUCUGACGCUGAGGCGCGAAGGGCGUGGGGAGCAAACAGGGAUUAGAUACC